rnacentral:lncRNA from 1 species
GAGAAAGGACAAAGACAUUGUCAUAUCGACCAAAUAACCACAGAUAUAAUCAAGACGUCGGUAUAUUGAUGGCGGGGCGCCUCAUAAAACAUUGUAAAUAAAAUAUCCGGCUGGCAUCAUGGGCUAAUCUCACUAUCUAUGAAUUUGUUUCUUGGCUCUUGAAAAACAUCUUUAUUGAGUUUCCCUAGAUAUUACUGAUUUAUGGUAGAAGAUGAGUCGAUAGUCUACGAUUAGACGUUACAGGGAAAAAGAAGGGAAAGCAUUUUGGAUGUUAAGGCGUCACGAAUCACACCCAUGAAUGGAUAAAAUAUGAUUUUUAAAUUAUUAGUUUGGAUCUAUAUUGCUGGAAUUGCUAUUGUGUCGGCAGUAGGACAUUUAGGACCUGAAGGAUGUGAGAGGGGUUGGCAACACUUCAAAGAUUACUGUUACCUAGCUGUGGACGCGCAUAUACACUUUGAUUCCGCCAAAGCUAUAUGUUUGAUUAAAGAGGCAACACUGACGUCUUUGUGGAGACUAUGAUGAGAUAAAGUUUGUUACAAAUUUGCUGAUCCAAUUUAAAUGCCAUCAAACCUUAUACCAGUACAUGGAUCGGCACUGGAGUUAUACGAAAUAGGUGGGUGUGGUUGGAUGGAUCAGGUAGUCUCGAUAACUUAUUCAAAGGUACUAAAUUGCCAGAAGCGUCCAAAGAAGUUUGUGGAUAUUUGACGUCAGAGGGUUCCCUUGAAUUUAUUGAUUGCGAUGUAACAGCACCAGUGUUCAUCUGCAAGAAACCUCUUGACAAGAUCUACGUACCGAGUACGGUCAACAUUUCAAAAGAUGGUAUUGUUCUUCCUGAGCACGAUCCUGAUGAUAUUAUUUACGAGCGUCUUUGGCCACCAUUUUCAGAUCGAAUCAUACUUAAUAUGACAUCGCCUAAUUAUAUAGCGACAGUAGAAAUUGCAGCACGAAACCGACUGCGCAUACCGUUGUUAUACAGUUGAUGAAUGUCGAGCAUUUGCAGUCGCGUGUAAAUCGGCAAGAAAAUGCAGCAUGCGUUUUUGCAGGCUCUUGUCAGGUCUAGAUGUCAGGUGAUUCCGUGUCAAAAUGUCAAACGAAAUAUCCGUCCAUAUUAAAUGGGACUGAGAAAAGGGUAAACUUUUGUUCUUGGAAGAAAAAUACACAUUUUAAACGGAAAUAUUUGAAUAAAGCCAGAUUUGAAAAUAAAACUUUCGCUUAUGCACUGUAUGGCUGUCGUAAAAAUGUCUCCCAGCGCCACUCAAAGUCAAAUUUUAUUAUUAAUGUUUAUCCCUUACGAGUCCUGACACAACGAGGAUCACGGUUAUACGCGACAUCAGCAUUACUUUUAGAGGUGCCUGUGGCUGUAACCCAAAUGGUGCAGAGGUCAGAUUUAUUGUUGCUAGGCAAUCUUGCUAAUACGUGUUCGAUUAUUGGUUACAACUAGGAUAAAGAAAAAUAUAUUUCUACAUAUUACAAGCAACAGAGGGGAAAACGAACAUUCAAUUGACGAUCUAAAUGUGAACAGAAAAAUGAAACAAUUGUCCGUCCAAAGCAAUUUUUGAUGUUGGUGAUACAUUAGUUAAAAACCGAAUGGAAAACACUAGAAAAUUCGGAUUAGAUACAGAGAAUGACUCAAAUAAAAUCUCUAACAUUUUGCUCAAAAGGAACCAAUAAGAAAACCGUGUAUAUUGUCUGAACAAUACAAAAAACUGUGAGGAAGAACAAGUAAAAAUAUUAUGCGAGAUAUUCCCACGUUACUUCAGUCUUUGAAUCAGGGGAACUCAUUGCGUGUGAAGAUCCUGCGUGGAAUGACUCCGAUAUCCAGAUGCUGCCUGACCUUGUGAUCCGGGUGCUGAAUGCACUCCUGAUUCAUCUACAACCUGGCUUUGUAAUCCUCAUGAGAAUUUUACUCUUGAUUCCGCCCAUGGCCGAUUAUUGGAUGAAGUCAGUGGUAACCAGAUGAAGACGUCGAAAAGACUCAUGUAGCAGUCUUGCGAGCUAAGCUUUGGCUGAUCUUGGACGAGACCCAGUUGUUGUUCAGAGUCGUCGAUUUCAUCAUCAUCUUCAAUAACAAUUGCUUUACUACCAAUUGAACCACAUGGCGUUUCUGUUCGGCUGUCUUUCUGUAAUAUUUGUGCUUUCGUUACAUGUCAACACUGUAUUGGAGGUUCUCCAGUGUAUAGAUAAACAUGACAAGCUAUUUCAUGUGAAUAAAAAAGAAAAGUCUGAUGAAAGUCUUGAGCAUUUCAAGCAUUUAAAAAAUAAAGCUCAGUACCUAAUACAUAAGGCUAAGUUAAACUUUUUCAAAGAUAAAGUUGAAGAAAACAAGUCUGAUUCUAAGUCACUAUGGACUGCACUAAAAGACCUUGUUCUACCUUUUCAAAAGUCAAAAUCUUCAUCUUGUUCAAAUAUAGGUUUAAAAAUGGACGAUAGCAGUGAGAUUUGUUUUGAUAAGCAGAAAGUGGCAGCAAAAUUUAAUGUUUUUACACAACCGUUGCAUCAAAGCUAGUUGAUAAACUACCACAGUCUCUUGAUAAAUAUGGAAAGAAUUUCGCUUUUAGAUUUCACUCUGAAAAGGGUGCAGUCUUGAAUAAUUUUUCUUUUUCUGUUUUAUCUGAAAAUAGAAAUUUAAAAUACUUGAACAAGAUUAGAUUAGCGUAAGUAAGUCUACUGGGCUGGAUGGUAUUCCCUCUAAAUUUGUAAGAGACGGUGUUUCAAUUAUAGCUUGUCCCCUCACACAUGUAAUCAAUUUGUCAUUUAUUCAAGGUGAUGAAAUCUUAGCCAUAAAGCUCAUAAGAGUCUGCAGGAGGACAACAAACGAUAGAAAACAAAUGAUUCCAAAGCCAGCCCUUGACCCAAAACCAGGUGGUAACAAAAACAAAACUCCUGUCAACAAACUCAACAGAAACAGUGGAAGGACUAUCACUAUGGUCAGAAAUAACGGGUUUCUUGUGUGAUCGUCAUUUUGACAUCAAUAUAACUGUAUUGCUUUGACUUGAUUGUUCCGAUAUCUGCCUCUGUCGAAGAUUCACUCACGUACCAUUGUCUAAUUUUCUAGAGAUUG